rnacentral:tRNA from 1 species
GGGAUAUAACUCAGUGGUACAGUGUUUCCCUAGCAUAUGCAAAGCUCUGUGUUCAAUACCCAGUAUUAUCA